AGAGUCCAGGGGGAAACGACUGUUUACCAAAAACACAGGUCCGUGCGAAGUCGUAAGACGAUGUAUACGGACUGACUCCUGCCCGGUGCUGGAAGGUUAAGGGGAACUGUGAGUGUGAUGCGUAGCGGUGAACUUAAGCCCCAGUAAACGGCGGUGGUAACUAUAACCAUCCUAAGGUAGCGAAAUUCCUUGUCGGGUAAGUUCCGACCUGCACGAAUGGAGUAACGAUUUCCCUACUGUCUCCACCAUGAACUCGGUGAAAUUGCAUUACGAGUAAAGAUGCUCGUUAC
rnacentral:rRNA from 1 species